rnacentral:rRNA from 1 species
AACGAACGCUGGCGGCAUGCCUAACACAUGCAAGUCGAACGAGACCUUCGGGUCUAGUGGCGCACGGGUGCGUAACGCGUGGGAACCUGCCCUUAGGUUCGGAAUAACUCCCCGACAGGGGUGCUAAUACCGGAUAAUGUCUUCGGACCAAAGAUUUAUCGCCUUUGGAUGGGCCCGCGUUGGAUUAGCUAGUUGGUAGGGUAAAAGCCUACCAAGGCGACGAUCCAUAGCUGGUCUGAGAGGAUGAUCAGCCACACUGGGACUGAGACACGGCCCAGACUCCUACGGGAGGCAGCAGUGGGGAAUAUUGGACAAUGGGCGAAAGGCUGAUCCAGCAAUGCCGCGUGAGUGAUGAAGGCAUUAGGGUUGUAAAGCUCUUUUACCCGGGAUGAUAAUGACAGUACCGGGAGAAUAAGCUCCGGCUAACUCCGUG